rnacentral:rRNA from 1 species
GCCCUUUGGCUAUUCCGAAGGGCAUGCCUGUUUGAGUAUCAUGAACACCUCAACUCUCAUGGUCUGCCAUGAUGAGCUUGGACUUUGGGGGUCUUGCUGGCGUAACCGCCGGCUCCUCUCAAAUGAAUCAGCUUGCCAGUGUUUGGUGGCGUCACAGGUGUGAUAACUAUCUACGCUUGUGGUCUUCCAUCAGGUUACCUUCAGUAAUGGAGGUUCGCUGGAGCUCACAGACGUCUCUCCUCUGGGAGGACAGCUUUUUAAAAGUUUGAUCUCAAAUCAGGUAGGACUACCCGCUGAACUUAAGCAUAUCAAUAAGCGGAGG